AGUGAACGCUGGCGGCGUGCCUAAUACAUGCAAGUCGAACGGAGUGGCGCACGGGUGAGUAAUAUAUAGCUAAUCUGCCCCUUGCUGGAGGACAACAGUUAGAAAUGACUGCUAAUACUCCAUAGCAACGGAUGAGACUAUAAAGUAUCAGCUAGUCGGUGGGGUAACGGCCUACCGAGGCUAUGACGCGUAACUGGUCUGAGAGGAUGAUCAGUCACAUGGGAACGGAGACAAGGUCCAACCGCAUACGGGAGGCAGCUGGAGGGAAUAUUGCGCAAUGGGGGAAACCCUGACGCAGCAACGCCGCGGGGAGGAUGACACUUUUCGGAGCGUAAACUCCGUUUGUUAGGGAAGCGUUACCUAACGAAUAAGCACCGGCUAACUCCGUGCCAGCCGCCGCGGUAAUUC
rnacentral:rRNA from 1 species